GGUGGUGCGAGGCCCGGCGCGGUCGCCGUGGUUACCGCACCCCGGCUGCGGCUGAUCAGUAAACACUAAUUACGCCCGCCACCCAGGUGCCGGGGCGGCUUGCUGAAGACUGAAAAACACCUCAAUCCCACUCCGGGACUUUGGUAUGGUUUUUAAUUUUACGGCUGCUGUCCUCGAAUCUGUCCAAGCGCAUUAGUAUUACGUGCGAGGUUUCCCGACAGGACUUUGACGGAUGUUGCCCGGAGAGAAGCUGCUUUCCCGGGCAGAGAAAAGCUUCCUUUAGAGGCCUGGAUGGACGAGCCCUGCUGUACCCGCCUGGACCUGAUGCAAGCGCUUGGGUGGAGCAGUCCUUGAUGGAGCAGAAACAUCGUUUUCUGUGUGAGGGCCCGUAAUGGCCCAGGUGGACAGCCACGCAGACACACGCGCCACCUCCCCCAGAAAUCAGUCCCAGGCCAGGGGUGCAGGGGAGCGGCUUCGCCCGGGAGACUCACGAAGAGCGCCACCGCAAAACUCAGACUCUUCCGCCCCAGCACGCUGUCGCUGCCCCCGCUGUCCUGCCCGCGAGCAGUGGGGACACAGACGCGUGCACACAGACCGCCGGGGCCACUUCAUGGGCACGCCUAGUCUCACGCACGCGGGCGGGCGCUCACCAUACUGCUCCAGUCCCCUCCCAGCCCCAUAGCACCCUCUAGCGGGGAUAACGUGCUCCCUUGUAGGCGCACCGACCGACCGGACUUGAACCUAGCACCAAGCGCCCACCCUCCUCCUCCCUUAGCUCGGUGCUGCAGCUGAGGCUUCUGCAGGUUUGUUUGAUCACCUGCCUUUCUACUUCUUCUGCGUUUAUGACCCUGCUGACGCCCGGGGAGAGGGCAGCAUAGCUAGCCAAUCAGGAUGCUCUAAAGGUCAAGGGACCUCCACUGAGGCCAAUGAGCCCAAGGUUGCCAGGAUCAGAAGCAAACAUCCCUUAAGAGGAUACAACAGUGAGAGGCCACGCCCACAUCCAUGCUCCCAGUCUGGUUUCCAGACUUGGGCAUUCCGUCUAUGGGACAGCACCAUACAUUGGCUGCUGGUUUAAGAGGCUCAAAAACGGAAGUGACUCAUGUCUGCCUGCGUCCACCCUUCCGGUUUUAUCUUGGCAUUUCCGCUAUCUCACCCCAGCAUGAAGAGAUCAGUGAUCUGGAUGGUUCACCUGGCAUUUUCCAACCCUGCAUGGCGUUCGCCAAUGAUUCUCUGCCCUUUUACCUUCUCCCUUCAUCAGAUUUUGGUGUCGGGGUUAUGUGAUUUGUUAAAUAAAUUAAUAACUUUCCUU